ensembl:miRNA dre-mir-21-2 microRNA 21-2
AGACAGACAGUAAAAGUGUCCCUUUCUGUCAUGUAGCUUAUCAGACUGGUGUUGGCUUUGAGUUUUUGGCAACAGCAGUCUAAUAGGCUGUCUGACAUUUUGGGCUUAUUCGACGUACGGUUUGUUU